ensembl:lncRNA
UGUGAGCCCGGGGCCCCCCCUCGCCACACCCCCAAGCCCUGCCAAUCACAAUGUGGUUGCCGUGGCGACAGCUUGGCGCGAAGGCAGGAGGUUGACGUCAACUGAGCCAACGCGAGGGGCCCUGAGGAAGGGUCUGGAAAAGGGGGGGGGCGGUGUGCGACCCCCAAACAAAGAAGGGGGUGAUGUGGAGAAAGGCCCUGUAACGACUCCCAAGUGCAAAAUCUCUGAAGAAAAAGAAAAAAACACCCAUACAAUUUGUGUAAAAAACCGAAAAUCAGCGGGCACAAACAUGUAUGUUGAAGUCUGUAGACAAACGAGAAAGUGGGAGACCAGACUUUCCUGAGACACACGAAAGACCCGAGACUAGCCUCCUAGUAAACGGAGAGCCCUCGAAAAGCGACGAGGUAAAGACCAAACCAAGCCCCCAAACGCGCAAUUCACGGGAAAUACAAAUGGCUGACAGACCUACGGGGCAAAAAUUGCGACCCGACUCGCAAAGAAACCCACGGAAAACCGAGAGUCCGGACGCGCGCGGUUCAGGGGCUCUCUGCUCAGGCAGGGCCGCGCCGGCUCCCACCGCGGUCCGCACGGACCUCGACCUCGGCCGCGCUGCGGAGAGCGGGGCUGCGGCGCGGGAGGAGACCCGGGAGCCGCGGGAACGACGGACCAAAGGCGCGACAGAGUAGGCGAAGUUGUGGAGAUGACCGCUUGUUUUUUUGUUCUUGGAAGUCUCGCAGCGCCUCACCCAGCACGGAGUCUGGUGCACAGCAGAUCCUGUUUGUGGGGUGCAAAUGUGGGGCUCCCACUCCUGUUCCUCCGACUGUUUAAGGCAGCGGCCGUGGUGGUGGAUACCCGUCAUGGAGCCUGGCACACAGUGUGUCAUUGGCCUCAGGGAAGAGCCCGGGACAGAGAGAAUCUGGGGCAGGUUCCUGGCAAGACAGCCCGCAUGUACAUCCCUUCCGGGGCCUCCCAUGUCCCGUACGGGUUGCCACGAGGACCAUGGGGACCGAGGAAGGGUAAUUUUAUGUUCACUCCUGGAAAUGACAGUGAGAGAGCCUCCAGGUUGAGGGAGCAGCCAUGCAAAGGCCCUGAGCAUGCCCCCCACCGGACCCCGUCAUGGAGCAGCAGCCACAUGGCCCAAGCGGAAGGCGCCUCCUCACCAGCCAGCACCCCGUUUGCACGUCACUUGCCCGGAUCUCGGAAGAAGGCGCCAGGGUUUUUUCUAGAGACCCUGUGGAGGAUGGAGAAACAGCCGCAGGGCCUCCUCGAAGGUGUCGAAGACUGAGGCUUCGAUGCAGAGGCGGCGGCGCACAUGUGGAAAUAAG